AGAUUGGAGUGUCAAACUUACCAAAAUCUUCCAAUCACCUAAAGUGGAGAAGCCGUGGCCACUUGUCUCCUGGGUCUUUGUUGAGGUCCAGCCUGCUGCUGCUGGUGUCUGAGUUAAAGUCGAACUCUUGAGGUGCGAGAAAAGUUCUGUUUAAAUAUUUCAAAGUGCUCUAUGUCCAAAGGGCAGUGUUCAUCCCAAGUCCUAUAAACGCCACCUGUGCAACUCCAUCAGCUACAAAGUUUAACUUACAGAAAGGGUAACACUGACUUUCAAAGUAGUGUAAUCAAAAGUGCUGCUCUGAUCUCUGCUUUAAAGAGCAUCUCCCAUUCCUGGUAACUUUUGUAGAGAUGAGAAAAUCUUGAAGCUUAGUUUCUGCAGACUUUUCUCGUUAUUCAUCUUGUUUAGUCGAC